UGUGUGUGUGAGAGAGAGAGAGAGAGGUGAAAAAGAAUUACUUGAAAGAAAUGCCCUAUAUUAUUCUGAGAAACAAACGACAAAUUAGCAACAUCCAAAAUGUCCCACCUCAUGGUUUCUUGAAUAAAAGGUACCAUGACUCACCUGCUCAGUAUUGUGAAUAGGCUUAUUUCUACUUGUGAAUUUAUUUCUGAUUUGUGUUUCUAGCUAUCCCUAAACUCUACCAACUAUCAAUAGUGUUUCUUUCACAAAGCCUCCGUCAGGUUAAAAGUAAUUCAGCUCUAUUGUGUUGAGCAUAAUUGAAAUGUCAUGAACCAUCUAGAAGGCAGGAGAACCAGUUCUCUCUCGUUUCUAUUCGUGCAGUCUGUUUACUUUUCUGGUUCCUGUCACUGACGUUUGGGCUCGGCGACCUGGUGAGGAAUGCUUCCUCUGGGGUUUCGACAGGCACAGCUAUUUGUCAUGGCCUCAGAAACUGCUUGGCUACAGAAGGGAAGUGGCCUCUGAUGCUGAGGAGGAGACUGGAGAUUCUGAAUCAAGGCUUUUGCCUGGCUGAACGCAGAGCUGGGAUGAGGAGUUUCUCGUGGAGAAGAAUUUAUAGAGGGAGGAGUCAUUGUCAUUAGCACACCAUACACAUGGCAAAACAAACAUAACCGCCCACCUCCUCUCUGACUCACCUACCCAAAACAUGAUUAACCUGGAGGGGGGAGUGGCAAGUGAAGAGGGUCCUGCCUCCCUCCCUCUCCCCCCACUCCCUGUGGGUUGCUCGGUUUCCAGAGGAUCUAGAGCCUGGAGAUCUCAAGGUACAAGUUGUCUGGUAGAGUUUGUCCUUGCCUCAUGAAGCCCUUGUCAUUUGAACGGCCUAAGAGAUAGAACUUGCAACUGCUAGCAAGACUUUGCAGGUAUUUGGAAUACCCUUUGACUAAUGAGCAAUCUAAUAGGUCCAGGAUUAUCCAGGAAUCACCAAACAGUAACGUGCGUGCCAGAGGGGAGGCCCACCAUUACCCUGGGAGGCCCACCAUUAACCUGGCCUCCUCGAAGUAGACAAACCCAGAGAAAAUGAAGGUGGGGCUGGAUGGUCCCCACCCUUGGCUCAGUCUGACCCUCCUAAGGAGAGCGUUCUUACUGAAACAAUCGGAAAUAUCAUAUGGAUAGCAUUAGAAGAGGUCCUUUCUGUUCUAUACGUCUUAUAUGUCAUAGGAUAAUAGAGGGAAACCUCAGUUACUGUACCUGUGGUAGCCACAUCAAAGCAACAGUCAUUAUACCAGUCGUGGUAAAUUAACAGAGAUCCCCAUUUAGACAUUGUCUUACCCCUUUUUAUUUUUGUAUGAAGCAUUUGGCUUGUACUUUAUGUUUGAAACAUCAAUCAUAAUGCAUAGUCACAUUCAAACAUGGAUACUACCAAGGUUUUAAUAAUAACUGGCAUUUUUAUUAUGCGUAUGGCACUACGGGUGUAUCAUUUUAAAUGAUAUAUAUAGCAUUUAAGGUGUGCGGUGACUAAAAUAAUUGCUGCUGCCUCAUGUGGCCCAUAUAGGCUGUGCCAGUUUAGCAGAUGUGGUCAUUCAAUUCAUCAAAAGGUCGCCUUAAUCUGCCUGUCAGAAUCAUGGAAAUCACGUCUCAAGUGGACUUGAAAUAUCCGAAACAUUGUGCAUGAAGUAUUGAAUUCUUUCCUCCUCCUCUCUCCUCCUACCACGUCCUCCCCCCUCACACAAGCUUGGCAUCAAUCUAUGCAGUAAAGUUCCAUCCAUGGAAAGCCCCAGUAUUUGGUGGGUCUGAAUGUCGUCCCUAGCCCCAUUGCUCAGAAAUAGAAUGCAGUCCAGAAACAAGUGCCUGCUGGGACCCAUUGUAAGGAUUCUCCUUUCCUUUGGACACUCUUCAGCGGUGUCCUCCCAGGGACGAGGUUUGCUCAUUCUGGAUCCAUGGUCUCUGUCCCCUCCCCAACCUAGGCGGUGUUGAAACAGCCCUUUUCUGCCCGGAGGGAGUUGGUGAUUCAAGCAGAUCCUGGAUGAGGCUUGCUAUGGGAGCCGCCUGGAGUCCUCCAUGGUCUGUUGACUCCACCAGGGCUGGGCGUGUGGGGCCAGGAGCAGAGUGACCAGGCUGCCUCGCUCAGGCCCCUGCUGGGCCCUGGAGGAAGAGAGCUGUAACUAUCACUGGGCGACAGCCUGGUGGUUGUGAGGGAGACGCCCACACCCUGCUCUGGGCUUGGAGGACGAAUGUUUCUAGGUCAGCCGUCCAAGACGACAGCCAGAACCGGAUGGCUGCAGCCGAACUCUCCUAGUGUGUAUCUUCCUCUACUGCUCAUGGCCAAUCCCUUCGGGGCUCCUGCCUGACCAGAGGAGAGAGAGCCCUGGCUUCCAAAAGUAGCCUCACAGCCACAGGAGGACCUGCCUAGCCAUGUUCUACAUUUCCUGUGGAAAAUUUAACACUUCUCGGAAGAUUAAAGGGUACCUAACUGGAUGGGAAUUUGUGGUCUGUGAACUUCUUCCUUUCUGAAGCUCUUCUUACUCCCUACCCCCAACCCUAAGUAGACAAAAUAUUGGGCUAAAGGGCUAAAGAAUCCCGUAUAGGGAAGAACCUGCCAUCUCAUUUCUAGCCAGGCACUUUUCCCUUCUUGUAACUUUCCAGUGGCAAUGUGGGGGAUACUGUUGAAAACUCUGACACCUGGUGGCCACUUC